rnacentral:rRNA from 1 species
ACUUUUACUGAGAGAUCUUUUUAGAUUCUACGGGUGGUGGUGCAUGGCCAUUUUUAGUUGGUGAAGCAAUUUAUCUGGUUAAUUUCGUUAACGAACGAGACCUCAGUCUGCUAACUAGCUAUGCCGAUGUAACCUUUCGUGGCCAGCUUCUUAGAGGGACGAUGACCUUUUAGGCUGUUGAAGUUUGAGACAAUAACAUGUCUGUGAUGCCUUAGAU